AGUGAACGCUGGCGGUAGGCCUAACACAUGCAAGUCGAACGGCAGCACAGUAAGAGCUUGCUCUUACGGGUGGCGAGUGGCGGACGGGUGAGGAAUAAAUCGGCAUCUACUUUUUCGUGGGGGAUAACGUAGGGAAACUUAUGCUAAUACCGCAUACGACCUACGGGUGAAAGCAGGGGAUCUUCGGACCUUGCGCGAUUGAAUGAGCCGAUGUCGGAUUAGCUAGUUGGCGGGGUAAAGGCCCACCAAGGCGACGAUCCGUAGCUGGUCUGAGAGGAUGAUCAGCCACACUGGAACUGAGACACGGUCCAGACUCCUACGGGAGGCAGCAGUGGGGAAUAUUGGACAAUGGGCGCAAGCCUGAUCCAGCCAUACCGCGUGGGUGAAGAAGGCCUUCGGGUCUUAAAGCCCUUUUGUUGGGAAAGAAAAGCAGCAGGUUAAUACCCCGCUGUUCUGACGGUACCCAAAGAAUAAGCACCGGCUAACUACGUG
rnacentral:rRNA from 1 species